rnacentral:tRNA from 1 species
GCCCUUGUAGCUCAGUCGGUAGAGCGCAACCAUGGUAAGGUUGAGGUCACCGGUUCAAAUCCGGUCGGGGGCU